GACGAACGCUGGCGGCGUGCUUAACACAUGCAAGUCGAACGGAAAGGCCCAGCUUGCUGGGUACUCGAGUGGCGAACGGGUGAGUAACACGUGGGUGAUCUGCCCUGCACUCCGGGAUAAGCCUGGGAAACUGGGUCUAAUACCGGAUAUGACCAACUGUCGCAUGGUGGUUGGUGGAAAGCUUUUGCGGUGUGGGAUGGGCCCGCGGCCUAUCAGCUUGUUGGUGGGGUAAUGGCCUACCAAGGCGACGACGGGUAGCCGACCUGAGAGGGUGAUCGGCCACACUGGGACGGAGACACGGCCCAGACUCCUACGGGAGGCAGCAGUGGGGAAUAUUGCACAAUGGGCGCAAGCCUGAUGCAGCGACGCCGCGUGAGGGAUGACGGCCUUCGGGUUGUAAACCUCUUUCACCAGGGACGAAGCGUGAGUGACGGUACCUGGAGAAGAAGCACCGGCCAACUACGUGCCAGCCGCCGCUGUAAUAC
rnacentral:rRNA from 1 species